AAAAGAGUGAUUUGCGAUUUUAAAAGAGGAUCAAUGGUAAAAACUUGAAGCGUUUUAAAAGAAUGAUUAGUAAGCAUUAUGUACAUUUACUAUAGAGACAUGGCCAUGAAAACUGUGUUUAUUUUGUUGUUAUAUGCUAUAUGUAGCGUAACCGCUCAAUGUAGGCACGUAAAAGCUGACGAUUGUUGUCCAAGUAACUCUUGUCCAUCACAACUUCCUUGUUCUAUAUUAUAUAAUCAACUUGGACCCUUUGAUGAAUGUCUUAUAAAGGAAGCGACUGUCAGAAAUAUACAACCAUCUGAAGUUGGGGCAGAAUGGGAAAGGCGUUGUGUUAAUGAAGGUUUAUGUGAAGAAAAUGUUGGAGCUUGUAAUUUCAUAAAAGACACCAUUGUUCAUGAUAUAUGUUAUAAAGAAAACAGAUUACGUGUGCCUAAUACUUGGAAAAUAGCAACACGAUGUAACUGAGCAAAUAAUUGUAAAUCAAACUUAAUAAAUGUAAUUUACUUUAUGCUGUAUCGAUAGAAUUUAUCAUAUUAUCUUGUACAUGUAUAUAUACAAUUUAUGGUUUAAUAUAAUUUCGGAAUUAUGA